GGAAGAUCUUAUGGUGAUGAAUCUUGCAGAGGCCCAAAGAAUCACAAGAAGGCAACAGGAAGCACAAGCACGCAAUAGUUUUGAUAAUAAUUUUAAUCCUCCCUUAUGAUGCGUCAACCAAUUGGUCAGGUCGUCUUCGUCUUCAAAGCGAAAGCGUACAAUUGCAUCCUGAGAGGGAAAAAGGGAAAGGAAAAAACGAAAGCAUCAACGAGUCAACGACGAUGGGUGGAGCAUCUCACGCUAUGAAACGAAUCCCUCGCAUCAAAUUCCCGCAGAGGCAUCC